UUCAAACAAGUCUCACAAAGAGCACUUCCAGGUUUUUUUUUUGUUUGUGACUUAGGAGUUGCAUGUUAUUCCAUUUAUGCUGCUGCUACUGUAUGAGCUGUUUAUUAAUAUUUACCUUUAGUAUUUGAAUAUUCAUAUGAAAGUUGUCCAGGUGCCAUAUUGUUACCUAUAAACUAUCUUUUACACUUGCUGGAUCUUUAGGUUCCCAUUUCAGAAAUACUCUGAACCUCACGAAUAUCUGGUGUGAUCUUUCUGAAGAUUAGGUUUUGUUGCCAUAUGAGAUGAAGAAGGUGGUUGUAGGAGCAGCAGCAGCAAAGCUGUCUAGUUGAACUGGGUGUUUCGGUAAUAAAGCAGGAAAGUUUGUUUAUCGGUUUGUUUUCAGAACUGUGUGGCGUUUUCUCCUGUCAAUGUGCACAAAACUAAGCAUCUAAUCAGCAGCUUAAACAUGUCAGGAAAUCCUUAGUCAUUCCCACUCACUUAUGAAUGGGCGUCUCUGCAACGAUGACCAAACACGAUCUGGGGAAAGGUCAUGAAGCCUACAUCCAUCUAGAUGGUGCUGAAUGUCAUAGUCUGCUUCCGAUGUACUCUGAUUCAUUUGUAACUUCAUAUCUGGCUGGGACAGCAGACCUAAAUCUGACUAAACGUUAGUGUCGUGCAAUUGAGGAUGCUUCUAUCUUUAUGUAUAACAUUGCAUAACCACUGAAAAGGGAUCUUAGCGUAAUGAUGUACUUUACACAGUAAACGUGUGCUGUUUUGUGAGGGGGGUCAUGCAGGUGUUCUGAUGUCAUCCUGCUCUCUUUCCAUGUACAUGGUAAACUCCACUUCCCCACACUCUUUCAGGCUGCCACUGAUCUCUCGCUGUGACGUUGGCUCACUCUUUGUUCUGUGCGUAGAUCAUGUGAUAAUCUCCAUACCAGCAUGCAUUAGGACUAGCUUGAACUUGCCUGAUCAUGACGCAUCACUGAGGAGAGUGCUGGGAAAUGUGUGUGUGUAUGUUUGGGGGGGGGGAGGUAUUUCAAGGAGAAUGUAUGAGUUUUAUUCAAAAUGCAGUGAUGAAUUUGAGCUGCAAAAGCUGGAACAGUUAGCAGCAUUAAAUGAGUUCUGGAAGGAAUAAAUAUAGAGAAAUGCAGCCUUCUAUGACAUGUGGUACUCUACAGUGCACCAGGGGUGGUCCCCCUCAUUGAGAUGACUUUGAACAUCUGUUUGAAUAACUCUUUUCCUAAAAGAACACAGACAAAAUCCUAUAAGUGCCUCUGACACACAGGAAUGAACGACAGUCCCAGCUGCUGGUUAGAACAGACUACCAUUAAUGAAAGAGUUUGCGAGUUUAAAUCAUAAUUUGCAUCCACGCCAAAAAUCCAAUGUAUCCCAUCUGGUGAUGUGUACAUGUGUGUGAAAUCUAGGUGUCUGGCAAGCUACCACUCCAAAAUGGUGACUCAUAUCUUGGUAAAAUAACGCACUUAGUAAAUUUACGGGAGCACAGCUAGCAAUUGACAAAUUUCCAGUUGUACCUCUGAUGAUUGUAAAACUUAAAGAAAAUAUAUGACAUGACGUUUGUUACCCUGAUCAUGACGCACAGAGACACACACCAGCCGAGCAUACAUGUAACUGACCAUGGAGUACAGGAUUUUAGCAUUUAAACAAGAUAAAAGCCACCAACAAUUUUAUUUCACUUUGUAUCUGCAACUGACUCUCUAACCUUGUUCAAACAUGUCAAUUCAGGUCCCUAGUUAUGUUGAUUUCCAGUCCAGUUUGUCUGAUUGAUCACCAAGAACUGAUUACUUAAUGGUGACGACUGUGGGCAAUAGAGCAAACUAUUUGUUAAUGGGAUCCAGAUGAUCAGGAUAUAUUUCCCUCCUUUUGUAGUAAAAGCCCCCUUUCUUGCUUGAGGAGGCUCAUAUUUUCUAUGUAAUUGAUAAAUAUAUUAAUUUGAUUAUUAAUUGAGAUUAUGCAAAUUGUAUACCCUCAAUAGCCCACUUGCUGGUGAGGAAUAAGAUUGUAAUUAUGAUUAUUCCCAGCAAGGUAGAACAUAACUUUCCAAAAUUUGGUGGAUUUUCCUUUUUUUAGACUUGUGACAAAUCAAGAUGACUAUGUGAAAUUUACCACGCUGAGACACAGUGGUCAAUAAAGGCAGUUCUUGAUGUUCAGACAAGCAGGUUCUGAUAGGCUCAUCUUUUGUGCUUCGUUUAAAUAAAUCAUAAAAUCAAUUCAAAAGAAUACGUGAUAUUUAAUUAUGAAAUAGGUAUGUGUUGACAGAAGCUGAUGUUUACAUCUUCUGAUUAAAACCAGUACAAUAAGAAUUAAUAUCUAUUUACAGAGAAUGGGGGAAAAAUAAAUAAAAACACUAUCAGGAUAUACACAAAGCAUUAACAUAGACUAGAAUGAAUUGUCCAUGCACCCAUAGACAAACAUUAUGACACAAGGUUGCACAUACAUACCUACGUGUCAAGCAAAAGGAACUACGAACGUCUUGGCGGUGUUAUUGUUGCCAAGCACCACCACAGCGGCUUGACACUGCAAUUUCUUCGCUCACGGGAUGAGGAACGAAUAGUUUUCCCAUAUUUUCUAAGGGCAUCACCCGCUUCCAUAAGCUAUGCAGAACACCUUGCAGGUGAUCCCGCAAAUGCGGAGUCUUACCGUCUGAAGGAGGCACGUAAGUGAAAAGUGCCGAGUGAGAAGUGUGAAAAGGACACGUCUGACACCAUCACGCCACUCUGACCUGCGUCCAUGGCGACAAGCGAGACAUCCUCCUAGCUAUGGGGAUAGCUGGCGUGCUAAGGCAACCGGGGUAUUUCAUCGUGUCUGGUGCAACUGUGGGGGUUUGCGUAGCCAGAGAAUCAGCACAUGGCCUGCACUGGCGUACACUUCAGAUUUGCAUCAUGCGCUGCCCCUGAAGUCCAGUGCGCCCUGGGAUGUUCCUCAGAAACGCGGACCAAGUACAGCGUCAUCCUUUGCACUGGGGUUGCUGAACUCGCUCACUGUGACACGGCGAGGAGCUCGGAGAUCUGGAAGGACCUCGAAAUAGAGCCGCUGCUCUUUCGGAUGGAGAGGAGUCAGCUGAGGGGGUCCAGAAACUAUCCAGGAGGUUAUGGGUUCAAGGCAGAGAACAACCCAGGAUGGGGUGCCAACCCAUCACAGGGCACAGUCACACACCAUUCAC